UACAGGGGGUGCAAACGUUGCUCGGAAUUACUGGGCGUAAAGCGCGUGUAGGCGGUUCGUUAAGUCGUCUGUGAAAGCCCAUGGCUCAACCAUGGAAGUGCAGCCGAUACUGGCAAACUUGAGUCCUGGAGAGGGUGGCGGAAUUCCCAGUGUAGAGGUGAAAUUCGUAGAUAUUGGGAGGAACACCGGUGGCGAAGGCGGCCACCUGGACAGGUACUGACGCUGAGACGCGAAAGCGCGGGUAGCAAACAGG
rnacentral:rRNA from 1 species